CCACACAUUUAGUUAUCUUUCAUAGACUAUCCCCCAGAGACAGUAACGGUACUUCUUGUCCCGGUAACGGGUCAGGUUAGCAGAGGCCUUGCUAGCAUGACAUAGCAGUAGCUCAGCCGGCUAACCUUAAUAGCGCCAAGAACGAGAAGCGGGAAAGCCGGGACAAUGCAAAGUUUCCCGACGACGCCACCAAAGCAUGCGGUUGCUCACCAUUUUGUCUGCUUGUCCUUCGAACGACGUGGAGGAUUCAGACACAAGGCAAAAGUGCGGAGGUGGGGGGAGUCAGGGUUUAUAUAUGUGGGGAAAGUGGCCGAGGAGGAGGAGGACCAGCUGGAGACCUCAUCCGGCAGCUGCAUUGAUUGCUCACUUGGCAGAGAGGAACGGCCAUUGUUGGGGGGCGGAUGUCACCCACUUAUUAUCUUUCACUUUUAGUGCAGAGUCUCAAGUAAUUGUAACGAUGUAUGAAGGUGAUUGUCUGGCGACCAGUCCAGGGUGUACCCCGCCUCUUGCCCGAAGUCAGCUGGGCUAGACUCCAGCAUACCCUCGACCUUCGUGAGGAUAAGCGGCACAGAAAAUGGAUGGUUUUCGUUGGACUUCUUGGAAUGAAUAACAGAAACUGAGACAAUGGCCCUCCUUGAGUCAGAAGGAGCUGUUCCCCAUCAGCCAUCCCUUCUUAUUCACCUCAUCUGCCACAGGACCACGACUUCCUAGACUGUCCAAGACUUCCGAUUGGAACUAGGAAACACAGAGAGGAGUGGAGGAGACUUACAAACUUAACUUUACAGAGUGGACGGAUAGAACUGUAAACUUCAGAAGCAGGUACAAUCAUCGUUUCACACACUGGCCUGUUAUGUCUAUUAUUCUCCCUUAAACCAUCAUCAUCAUCCUCCUCCUAUCAUAAGAUUCAAUAAUUAGCUUUUUGCUUGUCUUUGUGCAUUUUUAUGAAACCACUGCACCACCACUUUACAUAUAAACAAUAUUUGUUUUCAUUUUUUAAUGCAGGUUAUUUAAUUGACAGUUUACAGUGUAGCACUACUGACAUCACAUACACGGAAA